ACGCACGCUGGCGGCGUGCCUAAUACAUGCAAGUAGAACGCACAGUUUAUACCGUAGCUUGCUACACCAUAAACUGUGAGUUGCGAACGGGUGAGUAACGCGUAGGUAACCUGCCUGGUAGCGGGGGAUAACUAUUGGAAACGAUAGCUAAUACCGCAUAAUAUUGAUUAUUGCAUGAUAAUUGAUUGAAAGAUGCUAUUGCAUCACUACCAGAUGGACCUGCGUUGUAUUAGCUAGUAGGUGAGGUAACGGCUCACCUAGGCGACGAUACAUAGCCGACCUGAGAGGGUGAUCGGCCACACUGGGACUGAGACACGGCCCAGACUCCUACGGGAGGCAGCAGUAGGGAAUCUUCGGCAAUGGACGAAAGUCUGACCGAGCAACGCCGCGUGAGUGAAGAAGGUUUUCGGAUCGUAAAGCUCUGUUGUAAGAGAAGAACGGGUGUGAGAGUGGAAAGUUCACACUGUGACGGUAUCUUACCAGAAAGGGACGGCUAACUACGUG
rnacentral:rRNA from 1 species